rnacentral:rRNA from 1 species
AGCAGCCGCGGUAAUUCCAGCUCCAAUAGCGUAUAUUAAAGUUGUUGCAAUUAAAAAGCUCGUAGUUGAAUUUCGGGAUCAAUUAGUCGGUCGUGCCUCUGGUACGUACUGGUUUUAUUGGUUCCUCCCUUCUGACGAAACAUGAUGUCAUUAAUUUGGUGUCGUGGAGAAUCAGGACUGUUACCUUGAAAAAAUUAGAGUGUUUAUAGCAGGCUAACGCUUGAAUACAUUAGCAUGGAAUAAUGAAAUAGGACGUUCGACCCUAUUUUGUUGGUUUCUAGGAUCGACGUAAUGAUUAAUAGGGAUAGUUGGGGGCAUUAGUAUUCAAUUGUCAGAGGUGAAAUUCUUGGAUUUAUUGAAGACUAACUACUGCGAAAGCAUUUGCCAAGGAUGUUUUCAUUAAUCAAGAACGAAAGUUAGGGGAUCGAAGACGAUCAGAUACCGUCGUAGUCUUAACCAUAAACUAUGCCGACUAGGGAUCGGAUGAUGUUAAUUUUUUAAUGACUCAUUCGGCGCCUUA